CAGGUUUUUUUCGGGACUCCUGAUGACGUUUUGAGACAUCUCCUACAACUACAGCACCAGAAUUGGGCCGUUGAAGCAAGUUUUUUCUGGACUCCUGAUGACGUUUUGAGACAUCUCCUACAACUACAGCACCAGAAUUGGGCCGUUGAAGCAAGUUUUUUCGGGACUCCUGAUGACGUUUUGAGACAUCUCCUACAACUACAGCACCAGAAUUGGGCCGUUGAAGCAAGUCCGUCUUUUUGAAUUUUUUGUUUUGUCUGGACUCCUGAUGACGUUUUGAGACAUCUCCUACAACUACAGCACCAGAAUUGGGCCGUUGAAGCAAGUUCGUUUUUUUGAAUUUUUUGUUUUUUUCGGGACUCCUGAUGACGUUUUGAGACAUCUCCUACAACUACAGCACCAGAAUUGGGCCGUUGAAGCAAGUUCGUUUUUUUUUAUUUUUUGUAAGGGUCCCCCUUACGACAUUCUAGCAAAAAAAAAUGUGGGUAAAAUAUGCAUUUUCUUCAAUUUUCUGUUUUUUUCGGGACUCCUGAUGACGUUUUGAGACAUCUCCUACAACUACAGCACCAGAAUUUGGCUGUUGAAGCAAGUCCGUUUUUUUGAAAUUUUUGUAAGGGUCCCCCCUUACGAAAUUUUAGCAAAUACAUUUUUUCUUAAAAUAUGCAUUUUCUUCCAUUUUCAGGUUUUUUCUGGACUCCUGAUGACGUUUUGAGACAUCUCCUACAACUUUAGCAUAUAUAUACAGCAUAGCAUA